GGGAAUAUAGCUCAGUGGUAGAGCAUUCAACUGCAGAUCGAGAGGUCCUCAGUUCAAUCCCGGGUGCCCUCU